rnacentral:other from 1 species
UGCGGGCUGCCCGGUGCGUCAGGCAAGACAUCCCCUGGGCCAGUAAGCAACUCCCUCGGGAGCUGGCUCUGCCGGAACCCUGGUUUCGGUACCCGGCGCCCACCUGCACACGCAGGCUCUGGGAGGAUGCAAAUGCCAACGGCCAGGGCGGCUUCGCA